rnacentral:rRNA from 1 species
GAUGAACGCUGGCGGCGUGCUUAACACAUGCAAGUCGAACGGGAAACCUUUUAUUGAAGCUUCGGCAGAUUUAGCUGGUUUCUAGUGGCGGACGGGUGAGUAACGCGUGGGUAACCUGCCUUAUACAGGGGGAUAACAGUCAGAAAUGGCUGCUAAUACCGCAUAAGCGCACAGAGCUGCAUGGCUCAGUGUGAAAAACUCCGGUGGUAUAAGAUGGACCCGCGUUGGAUUAGCUGGUUGGUGGGGUAACGGCCCACCAAGGCGACGAUCCAUAGCCGGCCUGAGAGGGUGAACCGCCACAUUGGGACUGAGACACGGCCCAGACUCCUACGGGAGGCAGCAGUGGGGAAUAUUGCACAAUGGGGGGAGCGCUGAUGCAGCGACGCCGCGUGAAGGAAGAAGUAUCUCGGUAUGUAAACUUCUAUCAGCAGGGAAGAUAAUGACGGUACCUGACUAAGAAGCCCCGGCUAACUACGUG